rnacentral:rRNA from 1 species
GAUAAACGCUGGCGGCGUGCCUUAUGCAUGCAAGUCGAACGGUCUCGAUUUAUCGGGAUAGUGGCGAACGGGUGAGUAACGCGUAAGUAAUCUGCCCCUAAGUAGGGGAUAACUUUGAGAAAUUGGAGCUAAUACCUUAUGUGGUGAUGGAGGUAAGGCUCCAUCACUAAAGCCUUAGGGUGCUUAGGGAGGGGCUUGCGUCCGAUUAGCUAGUUGGUAGGGUAAUGGUUUACCAAGGCGAUGAUCGGUAGCUGGUUUGAGAGGAUGGUCAGCCACACUGGGACUGAGACACGGCCCAGACCCCUACGGGAGGCAGCAGCAAGGGAUAUUGGGCAAUGGGCGAAAGCCUGACCCAGCGACACCGCGUGAGGGAGGAAGGCCUUCGGGUUGUAAACCUCUUUUCUCGAGGAAGAAUUUUGACGGUACUCGAGGAAUAAGCCUCGGCUAACUACGUGCCAGCAGCCGCGGUAAGACGUAGGAGGCGAACGUUAUCCGGAUUUAUUGGGCGUAAAGAGAGCGUAGGCGGCUCUUUAAGUCAAGUGUGAAAUCUUGUGACUCAAUCAGAAGAAGCCGCUUGAUACUGGAGGGCUUGAGGGAAGCAGAAGGAAAUGGAAUUCCCAGUGUAGCGGUGAAAUGCGUUGAUAUUGGGAAGAACACCAGUGGCAAAGGCGAUUUCCUAGGCUUUUCCUGACGCUGAGGCUCGAAAGCGUGGGGAGCGAAGCGGAUUAGAUACCCGCGUAGUCCACGCCUUAAACGGUGGACAUUAGAUAUGGGGAGUAUCGACCCUCUCCGUGUCGAAGCUGACGCUUUAAAUGUCCCGCCUGGGGAGUACGGCCGCAAGGCUAAAACUCAAAGGAAUUGACGG